UACGGGGGGGGGCAAGCGUUGUUCGGAAUUACUGGGCGUAAAGGGCUCGUAGGCGGCCAACUAAGUCGGAUGUGAAAUCCCCAGGCUUAACCUGGGAACUGCAUCCGAUACUGGAUGGCUUGAAUCCGGGAGAGGGAUGCAGAAUUCCAGGUGUAGCGGUGAAAUGCGUAGAUAUCUGAAGGAACAUCAGUGGCGAAAGCGACUUCCUGGACCAAUACUGACGCUCAUGUGCGAAAGCGUGGGGAGCAAACAGG
rnacentral:rRNA from 1 species